AGUGAACGCUGGCGGUAGGCCUAACACAUGCAAGUCGAACGGCAGCACAGUAAGAGCUUGCUCUUACGGGUGGCGAGUGGCGGACGGGUGAGGAAUACAUCGGAAUCUACUUUUUCGUGGGGGAUAACGUAGGGAAACUUACGCUAAUACCGCAUACGACCUACGGGUGAAAGCAGGGGAUCUUCGGACCUUGCGCGAUUGAAUGAGCCGAUGUCGGAUUAGCUAGUUGGCGGGGUAAAGGCCCACCAAGGCGACGAUCCGUAGCUGGUCUGAGAGGAUGAGCAGCCAGACUGGAACAGAGAAACGGUCCAGACUCCUACGGGAGGCAGCAUUGGGGAAUAUUGGACAAUGGUCGCAAGCCUGAUCCAGCCAUACCGCGUGAGUGAAGAAGGCCUUCGGGUUGUACAGCUCUUUUGUUGGGAAAGAAGAAAAGAAGGUUAAUACCCCGCUGUUCUGACGGUACCGAAAGAGUAAGCACCGGCUAACUUCGUG
rnacentral:rRNA from 1 species